UACGAAGGGGGCUAGCGUUAUCCGGAAUUACUGGGCGUAAAGCGUGCGCAGGCGGCGCGUUAAGACAGGUGUGAAAGCCCCGAGCUUAACUUGGGAAUUGCGCUUGUGACUGGCGUGCUGGAGUGUGGCAGAGGGAGGUGGAAUUCCACGUGUAGCAGUGAAAUGCGUAGAGAUGUGGAGGAACACCGAUGGCGAAGGCAGCCUCCUGGGCCAGCACUGACGCUCAUGCACGAAAGCGUGGGGAGCAAACAGG
rnacentral:rRNA from 1 species